rnacentral:lncRNA from 1 species
AUUUUCUGAGUUGCUCUUUGAAAACGCUUGAUUCAUUAAGCUCUGAAAUGAUGCCGGCGCAUUAGACAAACCGAACGGCAUAACUAACCAUUCAUACAAUCCUUGAUGAGUACGGAAAGCUGUUUUAAAUCGAUCCUCGGAUUUGACUAAAAUUUGAUGGUAUCCAGAACGUAGAUCCAGCUUAGAGAAGUAAGUGGCACCAAACAAUUCAUCUAGCAAUUCAUCCACAGUAGGGAUGGGAAAGCUGUCUUUAACCGUGAUAGCAUUCAAAGCAUGGUAAUCGGUGCAAAAACGCCAUGUACCGUCUUUUUUUUUUACGAGUAAAACAGGUGAAGAAAAGGGGCUCGAGCUGGGUUGAAUAAUACCCUGGUCCAACAUGUCCUUAACCAUUUUCUUUAUUUGUUCCUUUUGACAGUGCGGGUAUCGAUACGGCCGUACCUUAACUGGGUUACUGCCCUCCAAAAGAGGUAUAGUGUGGUCUUGUUCGCGGGGUGGUGGCAAGCCCUUAGGUUCUCCAAACACAUCCAUAAAAGAUGCAAGUAAACUCUGCAAGUCUGAUGACUGGGUUACUGCCCUCCAAAAGAGGUAUAGUGUGGUCUUGUUCGCGGGGUGGUGGCAAGCCCUUAGGUUCUCCAAACACAUCCAUAAAAGAUGCAAGUAAACUCUGCAAGUCUGAUGACAUAUCAGAUGGCAAGGAUAUGGUAGUUGCUUCGUGAUGAGCAAUAGUAUUAAACU